rnacentral:SRP_RNA from 1 species
CGUCAGGUACCAUGCGAGCAGGCGCCGCCUAACCCCGCCAGGUUCGGAAGGAAGCAACGGUAAGCGGAGGUCUGCUGCGCCGUGGCUCCCCUGGCGCGG